AGAAAAAUUAAAAGUAUAAAUGAAUCAACAACAAGGUAAAACAGAACCCCAAUCUAAAAGGAAAAAAGAAAAAACAAAACAAAACCCUUGCCUAUGGGAUGGGCGGAGUUUAGGCAGGGUUUCGGGUGGGGCGUGACCUAGGUGGGCUGGCGGAACAUUUGAACGUGGGGCGGGGCCUAGGCUCAGAACCCAGGCACCCGGAAAUGGCCUUGGGGAAGGUUAUAGGCGAGGCACCGUUCAAGCAUGGACAGGGCCUUUGCUUAGGACCUGUGCAGAAGUGGAGAGGCAGCACGUCCAAAGGGCUGCCUCCAGAGUGUGGAGUUCUGGAGUUUGGAGGAUCCUCCCAGCUGGCGGGAGCCUUGGUGGGCAGAGGAUCAGGCCUGGGAUCUCAGCAGGCUCCUGGGGGCCCAAGUGCUCAAGGGAAACCCAGCCACGCUCCCUUUUGAUCUUCUGCCCUGCCAGUGUUUCCCCAAUUUCCCCCUUUGGGCGUGAGACCCAUUCCCUUCCCCUCCCCCAGCCACCACUCAGGGACGCCAGUCCCAUCCCGCUUCCACUUCUUCUCCCCCUUCACUCCCCACCAAGCCCCACGUCCUACCCGGUUGCUGGGGGUUCCUUUUUCUCUUGAGUAAAUCACUUGUAAUUCUGUUAACUAUUUCUGCUUGUUUGUUUUUGUUUGUCCUUGUGUCUAUACAUACAUAUAUAUAUGUAAUAUAUAAAAUAUAUAUAUUAAAAAUAUACAUGAAAGUAAUGUUAUUUUUGAUUGGUCAAGUUUAGGUAUCAUAUAUCAGGGCCCUCCCAUAACAAAAGAAUUUGUUCAUUUGAACCAUCACCCACAUCUCUGUCCCCCUACUCAUUUUACAUAUACACACACACACAAACACACACACACAAUCUUUUAGCUUCUUUAUUAGUUUAAAUCGCACGUACAUAGUUUUUAUUCCUUCAGUGACCUACAGUAACAUUUGACUCACAAUUUAUGAGAUGAGUGUAUGGUGCUCCAACCCCUCUUAGGACCUCCUCUCCCACUUCCCUUUCUUCUGCUUCUCAUUUCUAACAAAUGUACUUUCACUUUUAUAAUGUUAAGAUGGAUAAAAUUUAUUUUUGGUUUUGUAAAUUACAGUCUACCAAGCUUUCUCUAUAGGUUGAUUCCAGAAGUGGAACAUCCAUGAAGCAAAUCAUGUUUACUUUACUGUGACCAUAAAUAUCAUUUACCUCAUAGCCAAGAGUACUAGGAUUAUUACUAUGAUUACUGUUCAUUUUCUUUUUUAAAGUUUCUAAUAGGUUCUUUUAUUUUCUUGCUUGGUCUGUGUUUAUCAGCUUUGGUUCCUUUAUUUUCUUGCUUUAAUUGUAUUUAUUACCUCCUUGAGGUAUUUCAAGUUCUCAAGAAUCUAUUCAUAUUCCUGGAAUCUACCUCAUUUUUACAGAUGACCCCCUCCUUCCUCCCCUCUAUUCUUCUGCUCUAAGCCAGGCCAGUUACUUUAGGUUCCAUAGAGCUGCUGACAAGACACUUUCCUGGGUUGAAUACUAUGUCCUAUUCAUCUUUUUUUUUUUUUUUUACUCCCUUCCAUUUCAUGAGCAUAACUUUGAUAAACUUCCCUAUAAAUAUUUAUAUGUCUGAUAAUGUCAUUAUUCUUCUCUUAUACUUUAUUCUAUUCUCACCCUUUAGUCAUAGUUUAGCAAGAUAUGAAAGUCUCAGUUGACACUUAUCUUCUCUUAGAACUUUGGAGGAAUUUCACCACUGUGUUCUUAGAUUUAGUUGUGCUAAUGAAAAAUAUAAUAUUGGUUUUAUUCCCUUUCUUCUGAAGAUGACCCCUGGAUAAUUUGGAGAUUUUCUCUUUAUCUGUGGAGCUCCUAAAAUUUCAUAAUAAUAUAGUUAUGAAUAUUUGAGUAUUCAUUGUACUGAUCACUCAAGGGACUUGAUUAUUCUGAAGCUUUUUGUCCUUUACCUCUGGGAAAUUUCUUGCAUUAUUAUUAUUUUUUGGAAAAUUUCUUCUCACCUUUAUUUUAACCACCUUGUCUUCCUAGAACUUUUAUUGGUCCAAUGCUAAAUCUCUUAAAUUGCUCUUCUAUGCCUCUCCUCUUUACUUUGCGCUCGUAUUUCCAUUUCAUAGAUUUUUUUGUUCUGUACUCUAGAAGAUUUCCUCAAUGUUACCUUCCAACAUUUUUAUUGAAUUUUCUUCCUUUUUUGACAUCAUAUAUUUAAUUUCCCAGAACUCUUUUUUGCUACAUGAUUGUUCCUUUUAUGUAGCAUUCUGUUCUUUCUUUAUGAAUGCAAUAUGUUCUUGCAUAUCUCUGAGAAGACAAGUUUAUUUUCUCUGAAUUAUCUUUGUUUCCUCCAAAGUCAGUUUUUCAUUUUUUUAAAAAAAUUUUGGUCUCUCUUUUAUGUUCAGUUUUCCUAAAAUGUCUGAUGAUCCUUGGUUAAUCAUAUAAGUAAACAAAUGAGAUACUAGAAAACCAAUCGGGGACUCAGUGUAUUUGGACAAAACUCAUUGACAGUCAAGCUUCUGUCUGGGGUGACAGGUCAGAGGGCUGAAUGUUAAUGGGGGGUGCCCAUUCCCCAAAUCUAGAGGUCUUUGCUCUCAGGCACUGGUGUUUAUACCAGCACUCCUAGUUCUUCCCAUUUAAUUGCUUUAAAGAAAAUUUAUCCAUUAAAAAAAAUGGGAGUAGAUAUUGGCUGUUUGUUUCUCUGUGUGGAUGGGCAAAUAAAGAGUUCAAUUUAUCUUCUGUUUUCAACCCCACUUCUCACUCCUGCUUUUUCUUACAUGAUGUUUCUGAUCCUGAGCCUGUCUGAAGCUCCUAAGUCCAUCUUCUCUCUCCUCUGCCAAAGGCCCCUCCAUGAGUGUUCUGGAGUGUGGUUUCUUCUACUUUGAUUCUUUUUUUCACUCCUCCUCUCUCUCCUUCCAUCUUGUAGAAGUUUGUUGACUCUCCGCUGAUGCUCUUUUCCUAACCCUUGCAGGUUUAUGCUCUUUUCUUUUUUUUUUUUUUGAAUAUACCUGCCUUCUCCAGUCUGGCAAAAGGACUCCUGUCUUUUAUCUGAGUCCCGCUAAGGUUUGUGGAAAGGGCUUCCGUACUCCCCAAGUCUGUGCCAGUGGCCUUUGGGCACUGUAGCCAGUGUGGCCCAGACCUAUGCUCUGCAUCUCUCUGCUGGCUCUGUGCAAGCCUCCCUGUGGACCAGUUCUGAAACAGAUUCCCCCUAGGCAAGCAGAGGCAGAAAUUUCUGAAUUUCCUGAAGUUCAGAGAUAAUGGAAGGGAAGAAUAACAUGGGGAAAAAUGUGCAGGCACCCUUGAAUGGGCAUCUGCAGGCUGGCAUCAUCCUCAGGUUCCCUACAAGACCCUUUCCUCUUGCUGCCCUGUCCUGGGGUCAGCUCAGAUGCCCCACUGGGUGGGUGUUCCUCUGCCCCUCUGAGGAAUCAGCCUAUGCCCUCUGUCUACCUCCUCAAGGCCCAGCUCCCCUCCAACAUAGGCCUGGAUCUCUUGCCCUUCUUUCCUCUUCUUAUGACUGAUCUUUUCCCAAAGUGAAGGAGAGAGGAAAUGUUCACUCUCUCCAGGAAGACCCCACCCUUCUCAGGAAUGGCCUCACUCUCUGCUUGUUGAGGGCAAUCCCGUCAAUCCCCACUUGUCUUGGGUAUCUUCGUCAUUCAGACUUGACUAACAUCAAGUGUGACACAUGUGACAUUUAUUCUCCAUCUUCAUCCUCCCAAGAUCCUACCAUUUAACCUCAUCUCCAAGUUCCCUCUUUCCCUCACUUGCCUCAGGCCUUUGCACUUGCGUUCUCAUUCUCCAUGCCUGAAUUACUCUUUACCUGAAGGUUUUCUGCCUCAUCUUAUUUAAGUCUUUGUUCAAAUGAUAGCUUCUCAGGAGACCUUCUCUGAUGACUAUACUUGAAUUGACACCCCUCCUAGGACUCCCUGACCUCCUUCAUUGUUUUUCUCCACAGCAUUUAACACCUAAUAUAUAUUAUAAAACCUAUUUGCUGGUAUUUAUCAUCUGUCUUCUCCAUGAGGGCAAGAAUUUUUGUCUGUUUUAUUCAUUACUGCAGUCCCAAGCCUAGAAUGGUGUCUGGCACACAGUAGGUGCUCAAUAAAUACAUGUUGAAUUGAAUAUAGAAUAGUGUGGUUCACAGAUAUUGUUAUAUCAGCUGUGGGCCUCUGUUUCAGAUCUGAAGGAAUUCAUUGGGUGUUGCUUUUCACAAAAUAAAAACAUCUCUUUCUCUGAGGGUGAAUUUAAAUCCUCACAUCUUAAAAACAAAAAUCAGAUCAGUUGAAAGCUUUGAAAUUACAGACCCCUCUAAUCCUAAAUGAUGUUUUCAAAAUCUCAGGACCAAUUUUUAGUCUGGGCUGAAGCAUAAAGUACUUCUAUCCUCCUCCCCUCCAUCCUUUUUGCUUCCCCAUUGAGGGAGGGGAGGUCCUUUCCUAUAAACCUAACUCAAUUUGCUUUAUUGAAUCUGUGACCCAUCUUGCCCAGACACUGAGUGGACUUGAGUCUGGGAAGCAGAGCUCCACUGUCAAAAGUGAAUUUAAGGUCCAAUUUACUGUAACUUGCAUUUCUCUAAGUUCACUUGAGGGAGACCAUUGUUAGACUCUGAGCUCACUUUCUCAUAUCCACAUUUCUUCUCUCAUCAAUCCUCUCCUGCCUUGGCUGGGUAACUUUGCUGCCAGUCUUUUGUUCUCCUCUGUAAAAGGACAGAAUAAAGGCUGCCCUGCCCACCUUCUAGGGUUUCCACAACAGCAAAGAAGCUACUGCCUGGGAACAAGCACAAAGGCUGGGGCGAGCCCUUCCUGCUGGCUAUGGUGUGAUGUGGCCAGGGGGCCUGGCUGCAAGUUGGAAGACUGGGACCUCACAGGUCAUCUGCUGGUGUGCUGUGUGGCCUCAGACCUGGUCCUGAUCCUCUGGGUCUGGGUGAGGCCAAGGCAACACUCAAGGAUUGGACCAGGUCAUCUUUUUUUUUUGGUAUCUGAGGGUCUCUAUGAAAGAAGAAGGGCCAUAGAGGGUCUGAUGCUGGUCACACCUGUGAAAUGGGUCAAAAUAAUCACCAUACCAAGGAGAGCAAAGAAAGAAGCUGGGCCAGGGAUUGGUGCCCCCAGAUGAUAUCCCCUCUCUAUGACCACUCCCUUCUCCCAGACAUGGUUAGGGUCCUUAAAAGUGUAGGAGAAGCUAUUUCUAGAAGAUGUGCUUACAAUUAUCAUCAAACUUUUAUUAUUAUUAUUUUGGAAAGAAAUUCCAACACCUAAGCAGGCAAAAGUUGACUUUUUUCAGGAUUAUUAUUAGAAGGGAUUUAACUGAUGUGGAGUGAAGCUGGGGUGUAUGGCUAAGAAGGGACAUGCGUGUGGAGAAGGGUAUCUGGUGAAAAUUCUAGCCACAGAAUGUUCAGCCAAUGGGAGGUACAGCAGGGGAGGGGUAGGAAAUGGCCAGAAGAGAUGGAGAAGUGUGUUACAGCAGCUCAGGGGUGAUGAUUAAGCAGCUAGUAAAGGAAGAUGAAGCUAGAGAGGGAGGCUGUGGCUGUGUUAAAGGUCCCCAAUUGACCACCUAAAGGCUUCUCUCCUCAGCAGCAGGACUAUGUCCCGUGUGUAUGUGUGUUUCCGUCUAGUUCACCCUUGUACCCUUUGAGACUCUGACUUUCCAUAAGGAAGGUCUUCUCUUGGAUCCCCCACCUUGAAUAGGCUCUGGUUUUUAUUUUAUGUCCCUUGUAUCCUCCAAGGCUCUGAAAAACUAAGAUCCCGUUAUCCAGGUAUACCAGAUGUCCUCAGGACAACAGUGACUUAACAGAUCUUCUUUCUCUAACUCCCACUUAGAUUUUGACCUAACUUCCUAUUACCUUACCAGCUGUUUAGAGCAUUUAAGAAGAUGUUGUGUGCAUUUUACCUAGAGUUCUUCAUGAUUUCCAGCAUACCUGACUGGUUCUAUUACUGGGAUGGAACUCUGGCUGGCUCUAUGGCUGCUGCAAGGUGUUCUGGUCCUUUCUAACCUGUCAUGAAGAUCAAAUGAUGCUAAUGGAUAUAUUCUUGCAAUGGUGCUAGCUCUCAUCUGUAUGACUGUUUGGAGUUUAAACAAUGCUUUUAUAUCCAGCCUCAUUUAGAACUCAGGACAGGGGAAGAAUUACGGCUCUCAUUUUUACAGCCAGAUGUCUGAGCCGCAGGAGAAGAAGUAACCCAAGAUUACUCAGUAAGAGGCAGCAUCAGGAUUGGAAACUAGUUUUUCAAAUUCCAUAUCCCAUUUGCUCUUCUCUUCACUUUUACCGGGUCCUUCCUCUUAACCAGGAACCACAAACCACUGUGUAAAAGGGGUCGAUUAGUUUGAUCCCACUGAAGGAUGUAAGUAGGGUGGGUGAGGCUACACUCUGGUUCACUGGGAUCCCAGAAACUGACUAUGGUCUGGGUACUCAAAGCUCUGUUUUCAUCACCUCCCCCAGCCUGAAAACAGCUCAGGGUGACGGCGGGGACAGCUCCACGGAUGGGCUGCAUCCUUCCCUCUGAAUUAAGGACUAGGCUAACCACUCAAGAUGAAAGCUCAGCUCCCUGUCACAGAUAUCCUGUUACAGAUGACUAGGGAGGAGCCUCUAAACCUUGGACUCUCUCUCCAACUGUCUUCUCUAGGUGGAAAGUGAUGGUAUGGGAUUAUGAUGACUCAGUGUAAAAGGAUGGCAACUCUGUACACAGAUGCGGUAAUAAACAGAGAAUUUAAGACUGAAGCAGGAGAAUUCUGGUCUUAGUCAGUCUAUAUGAGACCAGUUCUAUUACUGACACAGAGCAAAUCACCAUUCUUUUAAGACUUAAUUUGUUCUUUUCGCGUCAAAGCAGCAAGGGGAUGCAACUGCCUAUCCGGCAACUUUAAGAAAUUAUUUAUGAAAGGACAAAUUCCCCACAAGGCCAUCCAGAGAAGGGGGGAUACAAGGGGAGCAAAGGGAAUAAAGAAAGGAUGGGGCAUGAACACAGAACCGAUAGACCAGGCGCUUGACACUAAAGGCUUAACAUCAAAUGCAGCCAGAAAUCCAUUUCCACAGUUUUAUUGGCCAUUCUGGCUGCCUCAUUUCAAAGGGAAAGAUUUGAAUUCAGAGACACAACAUUCCCUUUGUUCUCUUGCCCUCCAGCCUUUGGUGCCAGUGUGGACUGUACCAGAGGGAGAGAGUGAGAUCAAAACCCCUCUCCACUCAGCUACCUGCCCCCAGAGCUGGCCCUUGGCAUGCUUAAUGAAAUCAGCUUUGCUAUAGAUUGACAAUGCCCUGUCAAUUAUAAUCACUUAUCUUGGCAAGCAGAGCAUUUGAACACUUAAAAGAGCAGGGGGUUCAGUGGGCCCAGAAAAACCAGAAUAAAAUUAUACUGCAUGGUAAUCAGAGCAAGAGUAUAUUGCUCACAUAAAAUUUUACUUUAACUGUCAGAAGGACCGGUAGGAUUUUCCAUCUCAUUUUCUGCCCAUUGGGUAUUUGUGGUUCCAUCUGGGGUCACUUUGUCCUAACUGACGUUAAUAGGGGUAUUGUGUCAGUAGAGGGGGGGACCACGCGAUGCACAGGGAAGAUUUGGGGUACGCUGGGGACACCGGGAGGGGGUGCAAUGGCCUGUGACAUAGCAAGAAGUACAGGAUUUGAGGGGAUUCCUGGCUCCCCCGGAAUUUCUGACCGUGAGCCUAGAUACACUGUCCCCCACGCAGUGUCUCAUUUGUCUUCUAGAUAAUGGAGCAAAUAUGUCACCCUUAUGGUGCCACUGUGGCAGACAGACUUUUCUUCCUUCUCACUUACUAUUGUAAAACCUGGGUUUUAGCUGGGCAGUUGCCCACCCAGAGGAUCUCCCCAGCCCUCCCUGAUCAGCUUUGGGUGGGAGCAGCUAGAGCAGCCCUGGGGGAAUGUAAGGGGUGAGAGCGAGGCCCCGCUGAUUGCACCAAGAGCGGCUGAGCGAGGGGUCUCCCUGCUUCACUAUCCCACACGCCUGCACAGUGGCAUCUGUCUAGGAAGCUUCUGGUAGGACCUGCAAUCCUGAGGGGCGGGGGGCUGCUGACAGAGGGCUUCGGGACUCAGGAGAACCUCCUGAACCUAGGACAGGAGGACCUUGUGAAUGGGGAGCCCGGGACCAAGGCAGCCACUGCCCUCAGAUACCCGGCAACAAAAACAAAGCCAGAAGCUGACCGAGGCCAGUAGGUGCUGAGGAUGGUUGUGGGCUGGACCCACCCUUCCCUGAAGCCAGAAUGAUCUGCUCUUCUUCCUCUAGAUUCCUCACACCUUUCCUGGAGAGAAGGAAAGGGGAAAGUCUCUGAUCGGACUGGGGACUUUUCCAAAGGUGACAGUUUAACUCAGGUGACCCUGAGUCAUCAGAAACUGAUGGUUUUCUGCCAUCAGCAGGAAAGAUGCUUGAGAGCUGUUAGUUCUCUCUGCAUCCAGGGCUUGGCCUACGAGCACAUGGAAACCUGCCACAUCGUUCUUGCCCUUCUGCCGUAACCUGUUGGGAGAAUUUCGGUAAAUGACGUAAAAAUAAAACCUACCUGCAGCAAACCUGGAAAAGCGUCCCCCUGCCUGAGCGGCCAUCUCAGGGGACAUUGACUGAGCUGCCAAUAGCCUGGCUCUCGGUCAGACACAGCCCCCGUGAAGGCACAGGCACUUGGUACUUUGUCCCGGGAGGAUGGAGACGAGGAGGCAGACAGGUGUGCAUGUUCCUGGGGCCAGGGGUGGGGGGUGAGCUGUGGGUGGGGAGGGGCGGGUGAUGCAGUAGGAGAGGCUGGGAAGGGCUUUCUGCGCGGGACUUUUGAGGGGGACCCACCCCUGCCAGACCUUGACCUUGGCUGUCUGACAACCACAGUCCCAUCACUGUACAGUGCCAGGGGAGGGGGCUUUGUGUGCUUCACAGCCGGGGACACUGAGGCGUGAGGGGCGAGGCGUCACGGCCAGUGGGCGGUGGAAUGAGCAGGCUCUUUUCAGCCUCCCAGGAGCAUCUUUUGUUUCUCCCCUCCUCGGGUCCCCAUGCCCUAGCCCCUCAGUUUUCAGGGCUCUCGGCCAAUUUACCGCAAGACUUAGCUCUGGGCAGCUGUGGCCAGCUGUUUAGGAAACGGGCUCUAUGGGGCCAAGGCGUUGGUCUCCCCAGGCUUACUGGAUUUCUUCGUUUCUGCUUCUGCCCGUGAGAGACCCUGGCAGCUGAAGCUGGACAACGGGAUGGUGGGGGCGGCAGGGGGGCUCAGCCUUACUCUGUUUGCAGCUGGAGCCCCAUGAGAUGGGCUGGGGUCUGGGCUCAGGCCCCCUAAAGGGGGCUUCUCCAUAGAAAUCAUGACAAUGACCAUACCUAACCAAGAGGGCUGCUGUAAUGGAGAUGCUAUUUGAUGAGAGUGGGUGGCCGUCCCUUAGACAAAGAGUCACAUGGCCCAGAGAGGUUAACUUCCUUGUCCAAAGUCACACAGCACUUCGGAGGCCAGUUCUGGCUAGAACACAGCUCUCUUUGCCCCACGUAUCACUCUUUCCUUUUCCCUUACUUUUCAGUCCUCAGACAUGAAACAGCUUGCUCCCUGGGACCUUUCUAGUAACAUUUCCUUUCUCUAAUUCAUACGUCACACAGGUACUCCAUAAAUUAAAAAAAGAAGAAAAGUCAUACAGCCAGUAGGAAUGAAUGAAGCUAUUGUAAAAUGACAUGAAUAAGAAUUAAAAUCUCAAGCUACAUUUUUCUUUUCAGGGGUGGGGGGGGCAGACACUAAAUCUCUCAGUGGCAAGCAGGUGCAUUACAUCUCCAAGGGGAGGGAAGCAGAUGCCCGAGUGGGAAGAGUGCCCUUUGAAAGGGUGAAAUGGGAGUGUCGAAGUUUGUAGUCACGCUCCCCAGAGGUCGUGCAGGGUGGCUGCGGAACAAGGGCCUUCUGCGUGGGGUCAGGCGCUGCGGGUGUGUGGGGUGUGUGUGGUGUCAGCACUGUGCUGGCUGGCCACAGAUGGGGCUUCAGGGAAAGAGCUGGACUCAAGUGCUUCCCAUACCCCGUCCUCCCUCCCUCCUCUCUCUCCUCCCUUCUUCCCUCUUUCCUUUCUCUCCCUGUCCCUCUCUCUUCUUUUCUCCCACCACCUCCUACACCCCAGACCUGUCCAGGAAGCUCUGAUAGUACUGUGCCCAUCUGAGGAUGCUCUGAGGCACUGGCUCAUUGCCAAGCUGCUGCUUCUGUUUGGAAGGACCCUGCCCCCCAUCUCUGGCUGUCCAAAGCCCUGUCUUCUCUCAAUGCCCUCUAAACCCCCUGCCCCCCAGGGGACCUGUCUUAACUUGUUUCUCCUGGAGUCCUUCAAGGGUGAGAGACUCAGCCUGCACCCACCGGGCAAUGCAGAUGUCACACAUAUAUCGUCUUACAUAAUCUUCCCCAUCACCCUUCCUGGCAGCUCGGUGCUAGGUUAAUAACCCGGUUCUCGAGCUUUAUUGGAUGUAUGCUUGUUGCUGAUGGGAACUUCUCCAGGAGUGGGUGGCAGCUAGCCCCAUCUUUCAGGCAGAGCGACCGAGGUGCAGAGCUGCAGAGGCACUGGGCAGGGGGCGUAGACCAUCAGUGGGCGGUAAAAGUAGAAUUCAAACCCACAGCAGCCAAAUUCCAGCACCCCUGUUCCUCCCCGUCCCCUCUGCAACCAGGGACCAGGCAACUCCUGUCCCCUUUGACCUUCUGUUUCAGCCCCUCCAAGGGUCUCGUUUCCGAGUUAUUUGUGGAUAUCUGGCAGUGGGGUGAGUGGAAAGAUUGUGUGAUUUGAAGUCCGAUAGUCUUUAUCUCAGUAGCGUCUGAACUAAUAUUAAUAGAAAGCCCUCACUGAGCACGUGCCGAGGGUCAUGCCCUGAUCUAAGAGCUUUACUGACCCAGGAACCUCACACUGCCUAUGAGGAGGGUACAGUCAUCAUAUGACUUUUCCCGAUGAGGAAGCCAAGGCACAGAGAGGUUGUGUCACUUGCCCAGCCUCACACAGCCGCCCCCCGCAGAGGGAGGCUUCACUGUAGGCGGCCUGGCUGCAGCAUCUGUGCUUUUAACCCUUUAGCUGCCUUUAGCGUGAGCACAUGGGACGAGACUAAGAAACAGGCACAGGAGGUGCAGGACACAGAGGUGGGGUCCACAUGAGAAACGGCAGCUUCUCCAUUUUAUGCCCUCUUCUCUCACUGCAGUGGGAGUUCCUGCAAACCUGUCAGCCGCCCUUCUCUGUAGCUCCUAGCAUGAGGCUGGGUGUGAAGUUGUUCAGGGUGCCAGAUGCACGGAACUAGCCCUGGGUCUUGUGUACUAUCACAGCCUGAUGAAGUGAGGGGCAACACGUGUCAUCCUUGGGGCUCCUACCAGGAGCGUGAUCUUGGCAAUGUGGUCACAGGGCACUUGGAAGCUGAGUACUUUGGGCUUGAUGGAGGAAUUUGUCCCAAGGUGUUCUAUUUUGAUACUCUCAACAAAACAAAACAAAACAAAACAAACAAAACAAAGCAAAAAUCUUUGUAGGAAAGAAAAUAACCCAAAGGUGAAAUUGAUUAUGAAUUGUGUUUGAAGCUUCCCAGUUAAAUGAUUUCCCUGUAUUAGUAAAAACCCUUUGCUUCUCCUCAUACAUUUCCAUUAUGCAGAAUAUUCUACAUUAGGGGGGUUUCUCUGUGGACUUCAGUAUCCCACCAUGGCUGACACAGUUUAUAUUUUCCUAAUAGAACAGCACUGCAAUGGAAAUUGUAGGGCAUAAAUCUUUGCCUUUGGAAUCAUCAAAAGACAGAGCCCCUUGCUGGCAUUACUGGUUGAAAGGAAAUUCCAUCGGGUUUAAAGAUACAGGGUUAUCUCUUAAGUUUGGAGACAGAUUCCCUAAUUCAGCCAAGUGGACAUUAAUGGAACUUUCUGAGAAAAGAGAACCAACAUGGAUUAAGUGCCCACAAAGCCAGCCUUGUGUUUCAUUUAAUUUGACUGUCAGUCCUGAGAGGUGGGCAUGUGUAUUUCCCUUUACAUGGAUGAGAAAACUGAGGCCCAGAGACAAAUCCAACUUGUCCAGAGUCGUACAGCCAGGUGUGGUCAGAACCCAGGGCUGUCAGGUUGGGGAGGAACAUCAUCAGUGUCACACACCUGACAGUGCAUUUUCGGGUCCCUUUGGCACCCAGGGCUUCCCUGUCUCUCGGGCACAUGGAACCUAAGAAUCUGGCAU